GCCGUGGUAGCUCAGCCUGGCUAGAGCGUUGCCUUGGUAAGGCAAAGGUCGAGGGUCCGAAUCCUCUUCUGGGUGGAAAUCCCUCCCACGGCU
rnacentral:tRNA from 1 species